CACGUAGGGGACGAGCGUUGUCCGGAUUCAUUGGGCGUAAAGCGCGCGUAGGCGGCUCGGAAAGUCGGGCGUGAAAUGCCGGGGCUCAACCCCGGGACUGCGUCCGAUACUCCCGAGCUGGAGGUAGGUAGGGGAGAUCGGAAUUCCUGGUGUAGCGGUGAAAUGCGCAGAUAUCAGGAGGAACACCGGUGGCGAAGGCGGAUCUCUGGGCCUUACCUGACGCUGAGGCGCGAAAGCUAGGGGAGCGAACAGG
rnacentral:rRNA from 1 species